UCCUUCAUUGCCAGCGACACAGAUGAGAUAUGUUUAUAUCGAUGCAAGUAAAUAGUUCAGCAUAUGUAUGGCAAGUAAAAUUGUUAUAUUAAGAAAAGGAAACUUUGAGAUGUUUACUUCUUUGAAUUUAGUUCUAAAAUAAUUUGGUAUUCUUUUACCAAAUUGAUCCCUUGGUAGCAGAUACUUUCCUUCAUUCUGGAUAAAAGAAGGAUAAGAAAAAUGGUGCAAUGAUGGAGAGCCCAGGCUCUGGAAUUGGAGGUUUGGGUGUGAAUCCCAGCUCUGGCUGUAUGACUUAGGCAAGCAACUUAAUUUCUUAUAAGCUGCGGAUAACUACUUUUUACUCCACUGGGGUACUGGAUGAAUAAAUGAGAGUAUACGUGUAAAAGUGUUUAGAACACGGCUUGGCCCCAUCAGGGUUCGAUAACUGUUAGUUGUUUUUUUUUAUCUAUAUUGUUAUUCUCAUUGUUAUUGUUCUGUUUUCUUUGAGAGAUUUUUUAACACCUUUCAUUGCAAGAUUCCAAAAUUCUCUAUUGCUUAUUAGUAUACAUGAUUUGUCAAGGAGGUUGUUUCAUUAAAUUCCAGGAGCAUAAAUGAUUUAUAAGAUAAAAUGUCUUACUUUAUCUGCAGUAUUUCCACUUAAGAGGCUAUAAAAUCUUAAGCCAAAGAAAGGCAUCUGUCAUAGUGAAAUUUUAGGCACCAGCAGUUCUUGGGGAGAUAGGCUAUCAGCAGGGGGAAUCUUCUAGCAUCUCUCAAGGGAAGGUAACAAGUAGCCUUAUGUCUAUGAGCAUGUACUUAGAAGUCCAUACUCAUAAACACCCAUAGGCAUGUUUCCUUUAAAAAAUAAUAGAUUGAAUUUGUGCAUAAACUUAAAGUCCCUGCAGAACUUUUAAAUCUGAACAGCUUUACCAUAUUCUCUGGAAUGUUUACAGUAGCGACUAGGUACAGUAGCAUUGAAAAGCACUGAAGGAAUGCCAACACUUCUUGGUAUUUCUAACUUUAUUCACGCAUACAUUUAUCCAUUCAUCCAUCAGUAAAUAUUUAUUGAACUCCUACUGCGUGCCAGUCCAUGCUAGGUACCCAGCAGUGAGCAAGGGAGACACAAUCCCUGUCCUCAGAGAACUUUCGGCUGUGGGUAUUAUGGACAAGCACAGGGGAAGUGGGAUGGUCUGGUGUGAUAGGGGGCUGGCAGUGUGCUGUGGGAAUAUUAGGACAGGACCAGCCCAGCCCUGAGGGAGUCAGGAGAGCCUUCCAGACCCAGGAAGGUCUACACUUCAGCUGUGGGAAGAAGAGGAGGUUGACGUCACUAUCAAUGACAAGAAGGAUAGAUUCUAUCAAGUGAAGGAAAUGCUGAGUCAAAGGGACUGAACAUCUUUCAAAGCUUUUCCUUUUGCCAAAUUGCAACCAGAUUAUUGGACCAAUUGAGACAUCCACCAGCAGUACAGUGCCCAUUUAAUGAUACACUCUCCAACUUUGGAUUUUUUUUGGGUUGCCUUGACGAUGUACCACAAACUGGGAG